CUUUUCAAGAAUGAGAGGUAUAAAUGUGAUGGCAGAAGUGGAUGUCCCUGGUCAUGCAGCAUCAUAGGGUGUCGGAUAUCCUAGUCUUUGGCCAUCACCCUCAUGUAAAGAGCC